CCCCAGCCCGCAGUCUCAGCUCGGCAUCCGGGCGGUACAGACCCGGCCUCCGCCGCCCAGCGCACGCGCGGUCCCACCUAACCGCCGGCGGCGUCAGGACCGUCAGGCCCACAGCGGCCCCCAUCGGCCGGAGUCCUCCCACCAACGAACAGGCAGCUUCUAGUGCCAGGCACCACCUAGAAAGGACAGCAGGGCCCAGCCUCAGCACCCUCAAUGUGCCAAGUGGAGUUUGAGAUGGCCUGCGCUGCCAUCAAACAGUUGAAGGCGCCGGUGAGCGAUCAGGAGAAAUUGUUGGUGUACAGCUAUUACAAACAGGCCACCCAGGGUGACUGCAACAUCCCAGCCCCACCUGCCACCGACCUGAAAGCCAAGGCCAAGUGGGAGGCAUGGAAUGUAAAUAAAGGGAUGUCCAAGACGGAUGCCAUGAGGAUCUACAUUGCCAAAGUGGAAGAACUAAAGAAAAAUGAAGCUGGUUAGGGAGGACAGGGUAGCAGGGCGGCUCUGGUAGGGAAGGAGGCAGUUUAAAGACCUUUUGAGGGCCGAAGUGUCCUGAGGCUGUAACCACCACCAUAGCUGAGACCUCAAUAAAUCACUUUAACAUGACGGCUGCUGCA